AACGAACGCUGGCGGCAUGCCUAACACAUGCAAGUCGAACGGAACCUCCGGGCCUAGUGGCGCACGGCGGGGUAACGCGGGGGAACUUGCACGUAGGUACGCAAUAACUCCCUGAGGGGGGAGUUAAGACCGGAGAAGCUAUUAGGACCAAGGAUUUCUUGCCUUAGGGUGGGCCCGCGUUGGAUUAGCUAGUUGGUAGGGUAAAAGCCGACCAAGGCGACGUUCCAUAGCUGGUCUGAGAGGAUGACCAGCCACACUGGGACUGAGACACGGCCCAGACUCGUACGGGAGGCAGCAGUGGGGAAUACUGGACAAGGGGCGAAAGCCUGAUCCAGCAAUGCCGCGGGAGUGAUGAAGGCCUUAGGGUUGUAAAGCUCUUUUACCCGGGAUGAUAAUGACAGUACCGGGAGAAUAAGCGCCGGCUAACUCCGUG
rnacentral:rRNA from 1 species